rnacentral:rRNA from 1 species
UGGGGAAUCUUCCGCAAUGGGCGAAAGCCUGACGGAGCAAUGCCGCGUGAGUGAAGAAGGCCUUCGGGUUGUAAAACUCUGUCCUAGACGAAGAGAGAGUAUUGUAGUAACUGACAAUGCUAGGACGGUAGACUAGGAGGAAGCCCCGGCUAACUAUGUGCCAGCAGCCGCGGUAAAACAUAGGGGGCAAGCGUUGUCCGGAAUCACUGGGCGUAAAGGGCGCGCAGGCGGUAAAUUAAGUCAGGUGUGAAAGUUCGGGGCUCAACCCCGUGAUUGCACCUGAUACUGAUAAACUAGAGUGUUGGAGAGGUAAGUGGAAUUCCUAGUGUAGCGGUGGAAUGCGUAGAUAUUAGGAGGAACACCAGUGGCGAAGGCGACUUACUGGCCAAUAACUGACGCUGAGGCGCGAAAGCGUGGGGAGCAAACAGGAUUAGAUACCCUGGUA